GAAACAGGGUGGAAGACUUUUAGUAAGGUGGAUUUAUAUGUAAGUGCUUACUAGGAUGAAGCACUGAAAAAGCUCUGAAAUAUGCACAUAUCGCCCGUCAUUCUUGUCUUUACAUGAGACAAGUCGUAACAUAGUAGAGGUAUUGGAAAAUGUUUCUUGAAAGGCA
rnacentral:rRNA from 1 species